GGUGGCCACGCACUCCAGAACCUUCACUAGACCCCUCUUCAGCUUCUCUGGGUCAUCAAAUAUCUCAUUGUCAGCCAUUGUGUCCGGAGGAAGAUUUUCUCAGUUAGAUUCUUACCGAUUAGACUGAUCAAGCAUUCUGCCUCUGAAACAUUGACAGGUUUGCAUUUAAUGCAAACCCGUGCAAUUUCCAUAUUCACCUGCAGUCUGCACUCAGGCUUUAGUGUGUUCCCAUCAUGAAGUGACUUGGCAGAAAUCACAUUUGGUCAUAUAAAUUGACAAAUAAAGAGACUAACUGCAAUGACAUGACAGAAAAAAAUAGAUUCAUUUAUUGUGCAAAGAAUCAGAGAUGUUCCACAAAACAUAAGCAAACAAUUAUAUAAUAAUUCAUAUGAACAUGUGUAACUCGCAUUAAAGGCUCAUAUGAUUUGUUUUUUUGCAAUAUAUUCAGCUACAGUUAUGACCAAAACAUGCUUAACAUA